rnacentral:misc_RNA from 1 species
GUUUAAGGUUUAAUUAAACAAGAUUCACUAGGAGAAUCUUUUGGAGACAUGGUAAUACAAAAGUUAUCAUUGGUGUUUUUAUUUAGCUGACGGCCCAGGUAGUUAAAAACUACGGUUUGGAGGGCCGCCAAAAUACGGUUUAAGGUUCACAAGGGGUAGUUAUUUUGGGUAAAAAAGAGUAAACUUUAAAUACCCAAAAGAAAUUGGUAAUGAUCCAACCGCAGGUUCACCUACGGUUA